CUGGCUGUCAAUCGUGUCACCAGGGCUGUCCUCUUCCGCUGCCACUCGUUGGACCUUGCCCCUGCUGUGCCGCCGGCAGCCCCCCUCGCCCUCUCCUCCCUAGCGUUCGUCCUUGUCUCCCAUGACCGAGCUCGUCCUGGCACUAGACCUCUCCACCUCUGUGGCACCAGCGCCCUCAAGUCCUAUGCCAAUGCCCCCAUCUCCUUCCCCAUGCCAAGUCCCAUGGCUGCUGUCCUCCAACCCCAUGCUAUGACGCGCCCUGCAGGUGUUCGAUGGAAUGGCCGUAAGGAGCUUUGUGUUGUGUGUAGCCCCAUUUGCGACACCGUCGACCCCUGA
rnacentral:misc_RNA from 1 species